UUUGGGAAUGCUGCUCAAAAUGGGAGGUAAACCCCUUCUAAAGCUAAAUACUGGCCAGAGACCGAUAGCGCACAAGUAGAGUGAUCGAAAGAUGAAAAGCACUUUGAAAAGAGAGUUAAAUAGCACGUGAAAUUGUUGAAAGGGAAGCGCUUGCGACCAGACUUGUGCCCGUCGAAUCAGCCGCCGCUCGCCGGCGGCGCACUUCGGCGGGCUCAGGCCAGCAUCAGUUCGCUGCAGGGGGAGAAAGGCGGCGGGAAUGUGGCUCUUCGGAGUGUUAUAGCCCGCCGCGCAAUACCCCUCGGCGGACUGAGGACCGCGCAUCUGCAAGGAUGCUGGCGUAAUGGUCGUCAGCGACCCGUCUUGAAACACGGACCAAGGAGUC
rnacentral:rRNA from 1 species